ACCACACAUAGAAAACUGUAUCGAGUCAAGGAGUCAUGUGGGGGAGAAUAUACAGCCAUUCCGGAUAUAAAGGCUGCACAGUUUGUAUUUGUGUAGAUGAUUAGCAAAACUUUACUAGCAUCAUAUAUCUGUGAAAUUGUGAGCAUUCGUAUUGAGUUUGUUUUUCUUUAAUAACACGCCGUUUGGCAUGUUAAUUACUGCUGUAUAUCCUAUGUUUCUAAUUCUCUCCACCAACCAUAUGAAAUAUAGUGAUCUCAGGAGGACUUCAAUCACCAUCUGGGAAGACUUUGCAGGGAGCUUUACAGACUUGGAAGGACAAGUAUUCGUGGUUUACAAUUCUGUGUCAAAGGAAAGCCUAAAUAUGUAGUACAUCAACAUUCUAGAAUGAUGGACGGUCGGACACAAUGCACAUGUCCCUUUUUAGACUUAUUGGUAGCAUACAUGUCCUUUUCUUUCAGAACUCAUGAUGCCAUGCCAGCUGAUUUUCAUAUCUGUGAAAUCAAAGGACUUCGUUUCUCACUUCUUUAUGCCCAUAUAUCUUCAGAGAUCAGCGGCAAGUUCAUAGAGGGAUCAAGUAUUGGUAAGAUAAGGUCAUGUAGGUCCAUCAUGAGAGCCCUUUGGUGUUCAAUCUCGUUGAUCACCGCUUGGCAGCCACCAUGAGUGGAAGAUUCAAGGAUGUUCAUUGGAUGGGUUUUCAAUAUAAGUAGCUAUAAUGUCGGAUUGACAGAGUUGAAGAUGCUAGGUAACUGCAGCUUUAGGCAUCUAUUUAUACAAGCAAGUAGCAGCACACAGAGUCUGAGCAUGGUGGAGAACUCAUGAUGGCAUGGCUAACUGCACGCGAUCCAAUUUGCACCCAUAUAUCUACAGAAAUUAGAUGCAAGUUUAUAGAGGUAAUCUCAAGUGCCCUUGCAAUUUCAAUAUCUGUGAAAUCCGUCAAAUAUUCUGGCAUAUCAGGAUCUAUGAAUAAGUUUUCAGAGCUUCCAUCCUGAAUUCCAUGGACAUCAUUAACAAACGUUGAGCUACUUCUUUGGUUACAAUUGGGAAUUGGCACACUAUUUGGUGUGCUGUCUCAGCAAUAGUUGGAUGAAUAAUUUCAUCCUUUUCGCAAAUGUGCUGGCCAUAAUAACCUCACUGCUCCAUUUUAGAUCAGUUUCCUUCUGUUGCAUUGUCUUAGUUGCAAGACACCCUUCCCCUGUACUGUUGGAUCAUCUAUAGUAGCGCUCCUGAUUAAGCAUUCAUCAGGUCAUUUUUUCAUAUACAGUAUUAACAUUUUGUUAUAUACAAACUAUUGAAUAUGUAUGGAUGCAAUUUUGAUCUUUACUAUGCAAAAACUAAUUAUCCACGCAGAUGAGAAUCCAAUAUAGCUAGCAGAUAUUAAAUGAAGUAAAUAAAUUCAUAUGCUUUUUAACAUACAUGGAAUGCUUUUGCAUUGGAGCUUCUGCCCAUAUGUGUAGUGCAUUCUUCCUACCAUCACCAACAGAAGUGAUCUCAAUUUUAAGCCCCAGUGAAUGCUAAAUAAGUAAACAUAUGAUCCUUUUACAACAGAUACUUGUCUCUUAUUUCCAAUGCCCAUGUGGUUCUCUGCCUUUUUUUUCCCCUUACCGCCUUCUCUUUUAUAUUUGAUAAGAUUGGCGUGUUUCUUGCUGUUAUGGCCAAGUUCUAGAAAGGAGAUAACCUGACUUGAGCAGCUGCAUACUUCUUCAAAGAGUUUCUGGACAAGCUUUGCCUGUCCACUGUAGGGAUCAAUUGUUGGUAGGACAAGGUCAUGUAAUUUGGUGUUCAAUCUUGUUGGUCACCACUUGGCAGCCAACAUGAGUGUAAGAUUCAAGGAUGCUCAUGUGAUGGCUAUUAUAGUCAGACUGUCAGAGUUGAAGGUGAUAGAUAAUUGCAGCUUUAGUCAUGUAUUUAUACAAGCAAGUAGUAGAACACAAUCUGAGCAUGGUGGCGGGAACGGAUCAUUGUUCAAAUUUUCUCACUACAGAAAGACUAGGGAGAGUACUAUCUCUAUCCAACAUUAUGUCAGAGCUCACAACUCGCAAAUGCCUCACCAGAUUGCGGCUAGGGUCUAUUGACAACCGAACGAGACUUGCCAAAUUAUGCAUGACGUAUGGCAUGUGCCUCCAUCACUCACACAUGAUGUAGACAUUCACGGUGAGAAAUAUAUAUGGCCAAUAAUUCUAGUGGUUGUUAUAGAGAGCAACAUUGUCGUUAACCCACCGGCCCCAAGAUAGGGACAUGAAUGGUUUGGCUCUAAUUCCAUGUAUCAGAAAUUAUAUCUAGUACUAGAUGAAGUGCUAAAAAUACAAAUAGUUCGGUGGCUGUUCAUAUUUUGUUAUGGAUGCAUUCUUUGGUUAGUUUAGAUAUUUGUUUAGGAAGUUGUUUGCAUUAUGAUUAGGAGAGAUAAGCUGUUAGGCUUCAGUUGUUAGAGAUAGAGUUGAAAAGGAGUUGUAAGCCUUCGAGAUUGUAAUUGUGCCAACCCUAUAUAUAUGUGAGGGGAAGGCAAUCAGGG